GGCCGUGUAGCUCAGAAGGUAGAGCGUCCUUCUAGAAAUGCGGUCGCGGGUUCGUUUCUAGAAGGUCGCGGGUUCGAUUCCCAGCCGUGGUCA